AUGCAAUAGUUUUAUAGACCACUAAAAAAAUAUCAUCACACCAUCUGUGAGCUUUCGGGGAUGGACCCCACUUUGUCAGGCUUGUACGGGUGUAAAGAACAUGAAGAGUCGAAAAUUCCUUGGCAAGUGGAUUUUGCUAAGCAUGUGUUCCUUAGAUGUAAAUCAGGAAAGAUGCAGGUAGCAUCUGAGCUUCUGUUUAAAAGUUAGAGCUGAGGCAGCUGUGGAUCUGGAUACCACAGUCCAGAAAAUAAAACACACACACACACACACACACACACACAGAGAGAUAGAUAGAUAGAUAGAGAGAGAGAGAGAGAGAGAGAGAGAGAGAUGCCACUAGAGUCUUUGUGUUUUUUUAGUGCCCCCGACUAAUACAUUUCCCCUCACCUCCACCAUUGUGAGGGUUUUAAUUCUUAGAGGAAGCAAUGAGGGCUCUAAUUCAUUGAUGGGGAUCACCUAUGAGGCCUGGAAUUAAGAACUAAAAGGCCUGACCUCACUGCGGACCGUGGCUGAGUGGCGUUUUGGUUCCUGCAGUGUGUUCUGCCUUCUCCCGAGGAAGUCUCAACGUCUGUUACAGGCAACAGGUCAUCAGAAGCUGGUAAGCGUAGCUGUCCGAGAGACAUGAUUCAGGCAGACCUCCAGGUCUGAAAAAUUAUCCCUGCAAGUGGACCUAAGGACCAACUAAGAAAAAAAAAUAAGACAAGCUGGUUUGCAAAACACAGGAGGUGUGAAAAGUUUCCCCUGUGACAGUGAGACUUGUCCGGACAGAAGGAGCCCCUUCCACGUCUGGUUGGGUUUGGCCCUCAGACAGAGCACUCUGCCCGGUCGCAGAAUUGAGGCUAAGAGCUCCCUUUCGCUGGCUUUUGUGCCUGGCACAGCUUCAGACCUCUCAGCUGGAUUUCUCACCCCAGGCGGUCCCGUUCCGUGGCUGCACCAAGAGAGGAGCAUCUCAGCACAGUGGCCGAAAAGUGACCGCGUUUCUCCGAGAGGAGCCAGGCGUUGGCCUCCCAGCCCAUCAAUCUUUCAGGAGUGGCUUAUCUCUCUGGGAACAGGCGGCGGCUCCGGCUGAGGGACCACCAGAAAAGCAGCAGGGAGGAAACCGGGGCAGCUGCGACAACAAACACCAACCCAACGGCUUUGUGCCAGGACCCACAAGAGCAGCCAUGAAAUAUUCAUCCCAGCUCGGCGGCGGCUGCCACUUCUCAGAGCUUGACGCUUGGGGAUAUGUGUGUGUCUGGACUAUUACCAGCAGAAGACUGAUUCACACACACAGAGCACUGGAUAAGAGUUCCUCUUUAAAACUUACCGAAAGCUUUCAUGGAGUGGAACAUCGGAUGGCGUGGGCUACGCUCCACAAAAGUAAAUACCAAAUAAAACCUACUAAGCUUUCAGAUACCACGAGACCCGCUGCUGUAGGAGAUGGCACAUCAGAACGAAGACUCGAGAAACCUGGGUUCAAAUCCCCGCUCUGCCAUGAACGCUCAACUGAGGGAGCGGCAACGGUAAACCCCUCGUGGAACACGUCGUACUUCAAAAACCCUUUUAGGGCUGCCAUUAAUUUGGGGGUCAGGCAAAAAAAAUAAAAACCAAAACUUGGUGGUGCCUUAAAGACUGAUGGCUAUAUAAAGACUGACUGCUCCAUGGGGCUGCCCUUGAAGGCGGUUUGGAAGCUGCAGCAAGCGCAAAAUGCUGUGGCCAGGCUGGUCACGGAUACCUCAAAAUUUGACCACCUUUCACCUGUCCAGGCUUGCUUGCCCUGGCUGCCCAGAUGCUUCUGGGACAAAAUCAGCCUUCCAUCCUUCCGAGGUCGGUAAAAUGAGUACCCAGCUUGCUGGGGGGGGGGGCAAUGUGUAGCCUGUAUAAUAAAAAAUUUAAACCGCCCA
rnacentral:lncRNA from 1 species